CCAGAGAACUUAGCAGAGAUGCUUUGGUGCCUCCGGGAACUCUGAGACAGGUGCUGCAUGGCUGUCGUCAGCUCGUGUUGUGAAAUGUUGGGUUAAGUCCCGCAACGAACGCAACCCUUAUCCUUUGUUGCCAGCGGUCCGGCCGGGAACUCAAAGGAGACUGCCAGUGAUAAACUGGAGGAAGGUGGGGAUGACGUCAAGUCAUCAUGGCCCUUACGAGUAGGGCUACACACGUGCUACAAUGGCGCAUACAAAGAGAAGCGACCUCGCGAGAGCAAGCGGACCUCAUAAAGUGCGUCGUAGUCCGGAUUGGAGUCUGCAACUCGACUCCAUGAAGUCGGAAUCGCUAGUAAUCGUAGAUCAGAAUGCUACGGUGAAUACGUUCCCGGGCCUUGUACACACCGCCCGUCACACCAUGGGAGUGGGUUGCAAAAGAAGUAGGUAGCUUAACCUUCGGGAGGGCGCUUACCACUUUGUGAUUCAUGACUGGGGUGAAGUCGUAACAAGGUAGGCGUAGCGAG
rnacentral:rRNA from 1 species